UACGGGGGGGGUAAGCGUUGUUCGGAAUUACUGGGCGUAAAGGGCUCGUAGGCGGCCAACUAAGUCAGCCGUGAAAUCCCUCAGCUUAACUGGGGAACUGCGUCUGAUACUGGAUGGCUUGGAUUCGGGAGAGGAAUGCGGAAUUCCAGGUGUAGCGGUGAAAUGCGUAGAUAUCUGGAGGAACACCGGUGGCGAAGGCGGCAUUCUGGACCGACAUUGACGCUGAGGAGCGAAAGCCAGGGGAGCAAACGGG
rnacentral:rRNA from 1 species